UACGGGGGGGCAAGCGUUGUUCGGAAUUACUGGGCGUAAAGGGUUCGUAGGUGGCCAAUUAAGUCAGACGUGAAAUCCCACGGCUCAACCGUGGAACUGCUUGGUAUACUGCGGGUCUUGAGCCACCUAGGGGCAAGUGGAACAAACGGUGGAGCGGUGAAAUGCGUAGAUAUCGUUUGGAACGCCAAUGGUGAAAACAACUUGCUGGGGGUGUGCUGACGCUGAGACACGAAAGCCAGGGGAGCGAACGGG
rnacentral:rRNA from 1 species